GGCAGUAACUCAAGUGUAUGGCUGACUCAGUAACUGCCCAGCAUUAUCUUUAUUGAAAUUAUCUUGCAAUCUAGAAAUUAGAAGUGAAAUAACCCAUGAAGUCAUCCUGAUCCUGCUAUUCUGGGCCAAGGAUCUGUUUUUUUGGAAACUCAACCAUGACAGUUGGAAGAACUGGAAGUGGCCUGAGAAAACAGACCGACAACUGUGAUUUGGAACCUGACAGUUCACUGGCCAGAAGGAUUCACAGAAUGUCUGGUUUACCAACAUGGGAAUCCACGUAACAUUACCUCAGACCAAAGGAACAACUUUACAGUGAAGUCGAGACAAAAGUCACACAACCACAGGCUCUACUGAUCCUACCACACACCCCGUCAUCUGGAGGCUGCUGGCCAGCAUCCAGGUUGCUGCAGGAUUGAUUGAGCCAUUCCUUACGUGUCUAGCACCAGCCUGUUGCCUGGAAAAUCUCUCUGCCAAGGCCACGUGUCUGCUUCUUGUCUCUGGGAUAUUGUUCUUGGAUGACAAAGUUGACCUC